GACUACACGGGUAUCUAAUCCCGUUUGCUACCCUAGCUUUCGCGCCUCAGCGUCAGUGUCGGUCCAGGAUGCCGCCUUCGCCACCGGUGUUCCUCCAGAUAUCUACGCAUUUCACCGCUACACCUGGAAUUCCACAUCCCUCUCCCGCACUCGAGCCUCCCAGUAUCAGACGCAGUUCCCAGGUUGAGCCGGGGGAUUUCACGUCUGACUUAGAAGGCCGCCUACGCGCCCUUUACGCCCAGUAAUUCCGAACAACGCUUGCCACCUCUGUAUUACCGCGGCUGCUGGCACAGAGUUAGCCGUGGCUUCCUUUAGCGGUACCGUCACUCCCACGACGUAUUAGGUCGCGGGCCAUUCGUCCCGCUCGACAGGGGUUUACAAUCCGAAGACCGUCAUCCCCCACGCGGCGUUGCGUCGUCAGGCUUGCGCCCAUUGCGAAAAAUUCCCCACUGCAGCCACCCGUAGG
rnacentral:rRNA from 1 species